ensembl:snoRNA
GCUGCCCCUAGAGGCACUGCUCAUGUGGUUGCUUUUCCAUAUUGGUGUCAUUAGGUGGCAGAGAGAAGAAGGGAUUGUCUACACCCAGUGUUCUGGCCUAUGAACUCCUGGAUGAUUGAUGGUCUGAUACU